rnacentral:rRNA from 1 species
AUGGCGAGAGGGGGAGGAGGCGCGGCCGAGGAGGAAGAGGAGGAGGAGGAGGAGGGGAUGGCGGUGAGCGAGACGCUGACGGCGGAGUCGGAGGAGUGCCUCCGCGGGAGCAGCUCCAGCGCCAGCUCCGUCGCCGCCUCCACCGACUCCUACUGCCCGCCCGACGAGUGGCAGCAGGUCGCCAUGAAGACCUGCGUCACCGACGACGCCAUGGGCAAGGCCAAGCCGCCCGCGCCCGGCAAGGAGAGCCCGCCGGUCGCCGAGCCCGAGAGGCACAGAGCCCCAGAGGUCGAGCUGAUGAAGGAGAGGUUCUCCAAGCUGCUGCUGGGCGAGGACAUGUCCGGGAGCGGCAAGGGCGUCUGCACCGCGCUCGCCAUCUCCAACGCCAUCACCAACCUCUGCGCGACCAUAUUCGGGCAGCUGUGGAGGCUGGAGCCGCUGCUGCCGGAGAAGAAGGCGAUGUGGCGGCGGGAGAUGGACUGGCUGCUCUGCGUCAGCGACCACAUCGUCGAGCUGGUGCCCACAUGGCAGACCUUCCCUGACGGAACAAGGCUUGAGAUCAUGACGAGCAGGCCACGGUCGGAUCUGUACAUCAAUCUGCCGGCACUUCGGAAGCUAGACCACAUGCUUCUUGAAACGCUGGAGAGUUUCAGAGACACCGAGUUCUGGUACGUGGACCAGGGGAUAUGCGCGCCGGACUGCGACGGCUCGGCCUCGUUCAGGAGGCCGGCGCACCGCCGCGACGAGAAGUGGUGGCUGCCGGUGCCCCGCGUGCCCCCCGGCGGCCUCCGUGAGGCCACGAGGAGGCAGCUCGAGCACAAGCGCGACGCCGCCAACCAGAUCCUCAAGGCCGCCAUGGCCAUCAACAGCAACGCCCUCGCCGAAAUGGACGUCCCCGACUCGUACCACGACUCGCUGCCGAAGAACGGGCGUGCAACGCUGGGGGACAUCAUAUACCGGUACAUCACGUCGGAGCAGUUCUCCCCCGACUGCCUCCUCGACUGCCUGGACCUGUCGUCGGAGUACCAGGCCGUGGAGAUCGCCAACCGCGUCGAGGCCGCCGUCUACGUGUGGCGCCGGAGGGGCACCGCUGCCAAGUCGGCCGGCACCAAGUCGUCGUGGGGCAUGGUCAAGGACAUGAUCAUGGACACGGAGAAGAGGGGCGACCUGCUCGCCGAGCGCGCCGAGGGCCUCCUCAUAUCGCUGAAGCAGAGGUUCCCCGGGCUGACGCAGACGAGCUUGGACAUGAGCAAGAUCCAGUACAACAAGGAUGUGGGGAAAUCGAUCCUGGAGAGCUACUCGCGGGUCAUGGAGAGCCUGGCCUCCAACAUCAUCGCGCGGAUCGACGACCUGCUGUACGUCGACGAGCUGAGCAAGCAGGCAGACCAGAAGCUCCCAUCGGGUGUGGCAGACGACGGCAAGAUCGCUUGCAAGAACAAAAAGGCUGCUGCCAUGGCCGCCGUGCCCGCCUCGGGCACGACGUACGUCACGCCGAGCUUCUCACCGGCGCAGCUGUCGAGCCCGUCCAAGAUCGGGCGGGCGCUGCUGGUCGACAGGCGGGCGCACCACGGCAGGGCCGCCAAGAGGUCCGCGCUGGCGGACCACGGCGGCGGCCCGGAGGUCAAGGGGAUGCUGGUCACCAGCCCCGUGUUCGACGCCCCGUUGGGCACGGAGCUGUGA